CCAGAAGGUCCAACACCCUGAAAGCUGAUACAGUAGGUGACUGUGAUUGCAGUCUUCUGUGUUCAUCCUUCAGCCCACCAUUUUAAUCUCAGGGUGAUUUACAAUGCUGCUGAGCAGCCGCAGAGCAAAGAAGCACUCCUCUAACUUCUUACUGGAUAAAGAACAAACUGAAAGAGGUAAUUUCCAUUUAUGGCAACAUAUCCCUUUUACAGAUCUUCAUGGAUGGCUUUUUCCAGGCUUGGCCACUACAGUUUUCCUCUUUGUCAGCUGAGGAAUAAACCAAACCUAAAGACAUUUCAUAUCCUUUUGAUUUUAAGAAACAGCUUUUUCCCUUUUUAUGACCAGAUAAGUGAACUUUUAUGUUACAAUUUGUUAUACUGGCUAUAAACAUUAACUGUAACUCUCAAUAGUAGGAUUGACUACUGUCUUUCUUGUGUUAUAAUUUAAUAUUAUACCCACUUGAUUAGAGUGUAUUCAUUCUAUGAAAGCCUUUCAUACAAUCUCAGUGACAAUUUUAGCCUCUCAAACAGUUUUGUUGUUUGUUUGUUUUUGACUAAGUAUACCUACCUAAGCCAAUCUGGCUUUAACAAGUAGGGACGCUUGCUUGGAAAGUAAGGAUUGUGCCUUGUUUUACACUGACUUGCAAUUUUUAGUUCAUCAGUUUAAGAAUUACUUUCAUGUGGCACUGGAAUACAGCCUCAAGCAAGACAGAGCAGUCACUGUAGUGAUGCCAGGGGCAUAACCAUUUCAGCACAGGAGCUGGAGAUGAGCGUCUCGGCCAACUGAACAACAGGGGAACUGAAGUGCUGUGCUGCAGCAGGUAUUUAUGUUGUCUGGACUAUCUGAUCUAGUUUGUUAUUUUCCUUGGAGGAUUCAUGUUGAAAUCUGGCAGUACAUUACUGCAUUUGUCAUCUCAAUGUUCUGUUAUAAUUUGUAGAAGUUCUCACAAAGUGGAAUUUAGGCUUGACAUUUGAUAUUGUAAUUUCUUCAGGGCUUUCUACUUCUUUUUGCCCAGGACAAAAUGCAGAUGCCUGAAUCAUCCUUGCUGGUACUCAGAAGAAGAAAAUCAAACAAUCCUAUUUUUAUGAUAGAUGAACUAACCUGUCACUGCAGCCUUGUGCCCCUUGCCCCUGAAAGGCAUCUCACUAAUGAACUAGACUUCAGUGAGGUCACUAAAUUUGCAAGAGAAAAUUCAGGAAAGUAAGUACCUCCUAGUGAGACGGGGUUCAGGAGGAGGCGAUGAAACGUUACAGGUCAGAUGGGCACAUGGCCACAUUUCUCUGAAAGGCCAGAGAGCUCGGCCUAGUAAUGGAAGGACAGAUGAUGCUUAAUUCAGCAUAAGGACUGCUGAUGCAAACAAAUUCAUAUGAAUUUCAUACUGGAUGGGUGCUUUGCAUCAUGUGACUAACAUGAUUUUGGUCCAGUAUGAGGAGUCUGGAAGACUGGUUUCCUAUCACUGACCCAUAGUGAAGUGGUAAUCAGCACCUCAGGCCUGAGUCCUGAAUAUGGCCUGAGGCAUAACGGAGCUGUAAAAUCUGUGCAAACCAUUAUAGCGUGAACUGGUCACUGAGCUGCCACUGACAGAAUUUGUGUGCUGCUUGUAUCAUUUGUAACCCGCGUUUUGCAUGACAAGAAUGGGUGAUUACAGGACUAUCUAUCCUGCAGGAACAAAUUAUGUUUUUUGUGGAGAUUAUUCAGUAAGCCAGUUUACUGGAAGACUGGAAUUUAUGUGACACAUACAACAAUCUUCAUUUUGUUUACGUAAAAAGAUCGAUUUAGAAACUAGUCACUAUGAAAACUCCAUUCCUCCAUUAAGGGGCAGGGAGAACCUUUAAAAAAAAAUUAAAAGUAAUAUUUUCCAGUACUCCUUUUUUCAGAUUAAUUUCAUGCCAAUUAUUACAUUAUUUUUAGGUGAUAAAUAUUCAGAAGCUAAAAAACCCCAACAAGAUGGAUUAAUUCUCCCAUACUACAAAAAAAACCCACUUUUAUAUAACAUAAUUAAAUGGUGUUUGUUGCUUUCAGAAUCAGAUUUUGGGACAUGUUAAUUAAUAGCUUUAAGAGGACUGAAGACACAUUUCACAGAAAAAAAUUAAAGAUUCGGAUAUUUAUCUAUAACAUUCAACCUUGCUGGCUAAUAAUGGUUCUGAAAUAAAGCCUACCUGCAGAAAUCCGGUGGCACCAUGCCAUAAACAUUUAUCCUGUCACACAGCUCUAAUGCGAUAGUCAUUGUGAACCAGCCCGUGCUAAGCCAAGUGUUGGAUAUCUUCCUGAAAGCAAAAACAUAAUUAAGUUUCUAGGCUGACAAAUAAUUCUUGAGAUAGCUGAAGCAAUUUCUGGGCAUUUUUUUCAUUUUUAUGAAAGGUUAUGAAAAUUGGGCAACCAAGACUACUUUGGCUCAUUCAUCUUUUAAUGAUUUUACUCGUGUCUACUGUCAAUGGACUAAUCUAUGCAGAAACGGCCCUUGCUGCAAUUAAUUUUGGGCACAGCAAUGUUAAUAUUUAGCUGACCUUUCGAUAAGUUUACCUUAAGUGACUGAAACUUCAUGUCCUAUAUUUAUAUUCUUCUGCUAGUAAUGUACUUGGAAAAUAUCACACAUCUAGACUCACUAAAUGUUCACGAAGACAUAUCUCAGGGGAUGAAGAGGGCUGUUUAAAAUGCUGCCUCCACACCAUAUAGAGGAGGUCGUCUCCUGGAAUAGGAUCUGGCCUCAAGUGCUCAGUCUAGUCACAUCCUCCCCUCCCUGGUCUGGUUUCUGGAUGCUCCCAGCCAUCCAGUCCUCCACACGCCCAGACACUCACUGUGGCGGCUGGCACGAAACUCCUGUGCUAGCUGCAGCUGUGCCUGUCUCCGAGCCAACCUGGGAAACCUUCCUCCCGGGCCCUGCGUCCCGCUCCUGCCCCGGGGGAGCCUGGACUGUGGGGAAGGGAUGCGGGGGGACAACCCCAGGGAGCCCUCUCAGGCAGCUUCUGUCCUGGCCUGCUCCGCAGGUACGACACAGCGUUAAAAGAAGCACAACCGAUCACAGCAGUGUUUAUGCAAAAAUCAGUAGGUGCUUUUAGGUAAGUAACUGUUCACAAAUAUAAGAUGUUUACAAUCUGGGCUUAAAUUUUGCCAUCUCACAGGUCCUUACCUGCAGAAUGGGAACAGUACACUUCUGCGCAUUUGCUUGUCAUUGCUGUUUAGUGUAUAGGAACUAGGUAUUACAACGGUCACUGGUUGCCUGGCACAUGCACUGAAGUUCCCAGUCCUGCGUUAAGUUCCCACCCAGCCUGUAUGCCUUGGGAGAGCUGGCGGUCUUGGAAUGGGAUCGCCAAGGAAAUGCCAGUGAGGAGCACCCUAAAGGUGCAGUAGCAAACGGUGGGACACCCCUACAGGCCUAAGUCAGGCAGCUCUAUUAGAAAUGGGUCACAGCCCUCAGUCCUCUUCUGGAAUCAGGGAAACAAAUCCCCUGCAAGGUCUCCUCUGAAGUACCACUAAAAGAGGAAGCAGCAGGUCUCCCUCAUGGCUAGUCCCUCAUUUAGAGAAGCACCUCAGAAGGAGAAGUUAAAGCUCAUGUUAUCUGCUUCCCAAAAAGACAGCCUCAUAUUCCUGACUACAGACUGUCAUAGUAGCUGGCACUUAUUUCACAUCUUACUAAAGCUGAGCCAUUGCAGAGCUCUUGUAUGACACACAAGCUGCAUCCAAUAGUACUAAUACAGAACCUACAUUAACCCCACUCCAGGAUACCCAUAUCUGACCUCUGUGAAAUUUGGUAAACCCAAAGAAAGCAUGUAAGAGAAUAUGAUGUUCUACAUCAGAGCCUUCACCUGGGGAAGCCAAGGUCCUGACCCCAAUCCCAGUCCCUCCUUUGCAAUUUAUCCUGUAAUAGCUGAAUGCAAAACAGUCCUGGAAGCAGGGCCCUGAAGCCGGGACACCCACUGCAAGCAAGUGCCAUCAUCACUAGUAUCGUAAAUGAGCAGGCAAGAUCAUACCAUGCAGAUGCCUGAGCUAAUGCUUGGUUUGGAACUGGUCACCUCCUGUGCAGUAGGAGGAAGGUGUUUUAAACACACUCAGAUUGAGAAACAUCUAGUACCAAGGUCUCCCUUUUGCUCAGUGAAAGAGGCUAUUGUAAACACAAGGGAAUUUUUUAACCAAAAAGGCCCAAAGGAUGCUGGGGGAGCCUAAGUAGCCCAUCCAGUCCUUUGUGGGACACCUGGUAAAUACAUGAGCUCCUGAAAAGUACUUGUAUGUCUUUGGUGCACCUGACAUACAGACUUUCAGGCUAAGCUAGCAUUUUGAGAAUAACAUGCUGUGAUUUAAGCAUCUAAUUAGUCCAAAUCAUGGGGCCUUACUUCUUUUCUGAAUUUGCACUUAAGCUCUUUUUGGGACCAAUUUGUCACAGUGUAGUAGCAGAGUCGUAAGCUCGGCAGAGGCCUUCAGGCACUGCAAUGAUACAAAACAGUAAGUAAUUUCUGUCUCAAAAUUAUUAGAAAUGGGAAAGGCAGGGAAAAGCUUAAAAAUUUGCUUUCCUGCCACUUGAGAGUUUUUGAGCCUAUGAAUCACUAGGCAAUUUAGGUACUUAGUCAGGCUAGCGUACUUGGGAGCACGCACAAGGCCAUUGUUUCAGGUGACUAAGACUGUACUUUCCAAAACUGAGAGAACAAUUACACUUAGACCAUGAUCUAAGUGGUUAGCCUUUGCCCAGGUCAGGAGAGCUAUUUAGGCUGUAUGCGGGGUCUGUUUUUGUGCCAUCUACAUGCAGUUAUUUUGUCCUUUACUGUUUUCAAUAAAUAGGAAAAUAACUGAUUUGAAAUAAACUAGCUUAAAAGCCAAACAAUGGAAUAAAGAUUUAAAAACCUAUUCAAGUAGCAAUCUAGCCUCUUCAAAUACCACCUCUGUAGGACAGCAGUAUAGAACCAGGGUUACAGUGUCUUGCCUCUUCAUGAAAGAUCUGAACAAGAUUCCAACAAAAGGAUACUGUUUUUAUACCUUAUCAGCUGUAAUGAAAGAAUAUGAAGAACUGUCAUGUGCUUAUUAGAGGGAAUUAUCAGAUAUUCUUUUAUAUGAUGAACUAACACACAGUGCUGAUAAUUCUGUAGUGCACACUAAAUUACAAUUAAAGGCCUUUCUGCUCCACCAAAUCUCAUUUAUAAUCUCUAUGGAAAUACUCUUCCUGCAGUUAUUUCAUUUAUGCUUCCUUUAUCUAAUUACUAUAAUAUUGGUUCUGAAUCAUAUUUUCUUAAUGCACCCUUAUUCAAUUAUAAAGUUAUUUUCAAGUACAGUUACUUUAUAAAACCAAGUAUAUUGCUCUGCAGCCUUUGUCAUUCACUAUACUAUUUAACUAGCAAUAUUUUCUGAAGGUUUCCCUUCAUCUUAAAAUCAGCUUUUUUUUCAUAAGGCACAAUACAUCCAAUUACAUUUUUCUCAUCAUUUUCAAGACAGAAAUGAAUGGUUUGAUUAUGGCAACCUUGCAGUCAGACUUCCCUCUCCCUCCUUAGUAUUUUGUAGGCACUAACGUGGAGAGCUCAGCAGAAACCUCCCAGUGAGGGGUGAACACUCUGGGCUGUACAAUGUUCUGCUCCUGCUCCCACAGCCAUGUACAUUGUCUCUCCUUACAAAUUCCUUACUACCCAUGUUUCUUUUAGUCUUCUCUCUCUUUCUCUGUGCUGCCUAUUCGUUUAUUUUCAUCUCUUGUUUUAAACAUCAUCUUAGUCCUUCAAGUAUGCUGUAUGUGCCCUCUAAAGGAGCAGUUGCUGUACAGCAGAGCAUGCAAUUUCCUAAAUGCAGCAGGACCUGUUUAUGAAGCUGAAUUUUGCUAGUAUUCAAGCGCCCUUGAUUCACGCUGGGAGUUUAGGGUGCCCAUGACUGAGCCUGAGGUAGCCUGUGAUAACACCAUUAAAGUCUCAAGCUCCUCGAAACUGGGCCUGGUGCCUGCACAGGGGGAGAAAUGCUUUUCUUGGGUGCACAGCUAUAGGUCUGCUCUGGCCAGGCGAUGCAGAGCUAGAAGCAGCAGCUUGCCUGAAAACACCAACUGCAAAGCCAGUGUCAGGAAGGGACUGGGAUCCUGGCUGCCCACCGCAGAGUUGGUCAGGCUGCAGCAGAGGAUGUAAGCCACUCCUCAAAACAGGGGACUGCAAGUGGUGCUACGCUACAAGAGUAAUCCAGGGACAAAAGAGGCAGCAUGCACUUCCCUGCCUGCAGCACCUGGGCCUUCGAGCUGCUGGUAGUCCAUGUUGCAGCUCUGCUGCAGCUCUGCGUACUUGAACGCCUCUAAAUACUGGGCAUACGGAUAAUCUGCUUAAUUCUCACAGAUUAUAAGAGCCUCACUUGCUCCGCUCUGGAUGAACAAAUCUGGAAAAGACUCUAGCACAGCUGAGCUGGCAGGGUAUCUCCCCUUGUUAUCCUUCCUCCUAGUUCCCGCAAAGGAAGAGAUUCACAGGCAUAGAUUUCAAGAUGAAGAGGAAAGGGCCUUUAAUGGUAAGACCUGAAUAGUUACUGUGCACGCUAGUGUUAGUGUAGGUCGACUGAGAAUUUAGAUACUUAGUGUGAUCCACUGUGCCUGAACAGAGCUCUACAAGCAAAGCACAUGGCAUAUGACAGACAAAGACAGCAAAUGCAAAGCAAAGCUGCACCCCAUCAGCUAAUAGGAUGCAACAGUUUACUGUGUCACUGGCUCUGCCUUUGCCAUGCCGCCCAGGAGACAAAGUCUGUGCUCUUGAGUCCUCCCUACCCACAGAAGAUCAAGCCCAGCUGCUGGGCUGUAGUGUGCAUGUGUAGUAUUUGUGAAGACACAGAAUUUUACCAUGAGUUACUGCACAAUAAACCUACCUCUUCAUUUGUACCGAAGUGGGGACCCCGUUCUGUUUCUUACAGCUGCAUAUUUAGUAUGUAGAAAAUAUGAGUUCAUUAAAAAUAAAAGUAUUUCCCUCUAGGAAAUCUUUGGCUUAAAUGCCAGUUUUCAAACAUUAUAUGUGAAAAUGCUCAAGUCCUGCAGUGGGUCACUUAUUAAAAAUUUGAUUUGAAGAUCAGCCUGCAAGUCAUAAACAGUCUCAUAAAGAUGUAACUAUCAUAAUAACUUUCCUUUUCCCAGUUGGAAAUGUAAGAUGAACUGUUCAGAAGCACCUAAUGUAUGAAUAAUGUUUAUUUGUUUUACAAGAAGCUUUACAGCUGCAAUGUUCCAAGAAUGCUUAAAUUCAAUAAACAACUAUUAUAAUUCACAGAA